CACAUUGACCCUCUGAGUCACAUUGGUUCCCAUGGAGAUUAACACCAUCAACUGUGGGGACAGCAGCCCAGAAGUGCGAUUGGUGUUAGACAGCAAGGAGAAAAACGGCAGCAUGGUGCUCAAACUGAUCAAAGUGCCAAGAACAAGUAACUGUGAAUGCUUAGCCAUAGAAGAGUCUUCUCCCAUAAAAGACGCUGGAAACGUGAUGAAAGAGGAAGAAUAUGAGAACCAUUGGAUGGAGAGAGCUGUGGAGUGAUGACCUCUGGAUGGAAUGCUAUUCCACACAGCAGCUGUGGUGUUGCACAAGAUCUGGACAACAUCAACAGGUAGAAGCUCGGCUAACACAAGAUUAUAGACAAAAUAAAGCACUACGUUUUCUUGGAUAAAAUGUCUCUAGGCACUUUCACACCCUGCUGGUAUUUCCAGGAUAUGCAGAAAGGACCCCUAAGAAGAGCUUCUGUCCAUGUCAUGGAUUCAAGAUGGGCAGACUGUGCUGGAAUACUCUGGUCUCAAGUCUACAUACACAGAACAACAUGACCAAAUACACAAUUGAAAACACAAUUGAAAAAGAAAAAAAAAGAGCCAUUGCAUUCAACAAGGCAAUUGUUUUAUUGCUCAAUAAACCGUAAUAUUUGGA